UGUGUGGUUUGUUUGGCCUC
rnacentral:miRNA from 1 species